GGAUUAUUGGGCGUAAAGAGCUCGUAGGCGGUUUGUCGCGUCUGCUGUGAAAUUUCGGGGCUCAACCCCGAACUUGCAGUGGGUACGGGCAGACUAGAGUGUGGUAGGGGAGACUGGAAUUCCUGGUGUAGCGGUGAAAUGCGCAGAUAUCAGGAGGAACACCGAUGGCGAAGGCAGGUCUCUGGGCCACUACUGACGCUGAGAAGCGAAAGCAUGGGGAGCGAACAGGAUUAGGUACCCUGGUAGUCCAUGCCGUAAACGUUGGGAACUAGGUGUGGGCCUCAUUCCACGAGGUCCGUGCCGCAGCUAACGCAUUAAGUUCCCCGCCUGGGGAGUACGGCCGCAAGGCUAAAACUCAAAGGAAUUGACGGGGGCCCGCACAAGCGGCGGAGCAUGCGGAUUAAUUCGAUGCAACGCGAAGAACCUUACCAAGGCUUGACAUGUGCCGGAAAAGUGCAGAGAUGUGCUCCCCGCAAGGUCGGUACACAGGUGGUGCAUGGUUGUCGUCAGCUCGUGUCGUGAGAUGUUGGGUUAAGUCCCGCAACGAGCGCAACCCUCGUUCUAUGUUGCCAGCACGUCAUGGUGGGGACUCAUAGGAGACUGCCGGGGUCAACUCGGAGGAAGGUGGGGAUGACGUCAAAUCAUCAUGCCCCUUAUGUCUUGGGCUUCACGCAUGCUACAAUGGCCAGUACAAAGGGCUGCGAUACCGCAAGGUGGAGCGAAUCCCAAAAAACUGGUCUCAGUUCGGAUUGGGGUCUGCAACUCGACCCCAUGAAGUCGGAGUCGCUAGUAAUCGCAGAUCAGCAAC
rnacentral:rRNA from 1 species